rnacentral:rRNA from 1 species
GAUGAACGCUGGCGGCGUGCCUAAUACAUGCAAGUCGAGCGAACAGACGAGGAGCUUGCUCCUUUGACGUUAGCGGCGGACGGGUGAGUAACACGUAGGUAACCUACCUAUAAGACUGGGAUAACUUCGGGAAACCGGAGCUAAUACCGGAUAAUAUUUCGAACCGCAUAGUUCGAUAGUGAAAGAUGGCUUUGCUAUCACUUAUAGAUGGACCUGCGCCGUAUUAGCUAGUUGGUAAGGUAACGGCUUACCAAGGCAACGAUACGUAGCCGACCUGAGAGGGUGUUCGGCCACACUGGAACUGAGACACGGUCCAGACUCCUACGGGAGGCAGCAGUAGGGAAUCUUCCGCAAUGGGCGAAAGCCUGACGGAGCAACGCCGCGUGAGUGAUGAAGGUCUUCGGAUCGUAAAACUCUGUUAUUAGGGAAGAACAAACGUGUAAGUAACUGUGCACGUCUUGACGGUACCUAAUCAGAAAGCCACGGCUAACUACGUG